rnacentral:rRNA from 1 species
UACGGGAGGCAGCAGUGGGGAAUAUUGCACAAUGGGGGAAACCCUGAUGCAGCCAUGCCGCGUGUAUGAAGAAGGCCUUCGGGUUGUAAAGUACUUUCAGUUGUGAGGAAGGCAGUAAAGUUAAUAGCUUUAUUGUUUGACGUUAGCAACAGAAGAAGCACCGGCUAACUCCGUGCCAGCAGCCGCGGUAAUACGGAGGGUGCGAGCGUUAAUCGGAAUUACUGGGCGUAAAGCGCAUGCAGGUGGUCUGUUAAGCAAGAUGUGAAAGCCCGGGGCUCAACCUCGGAACAGCAUUUUGAACUGGCAGACUAGAGUACUGUAGAGGGGGGUAGAAUUUCAGGUGUAGCGGUGAAAUGCGUAGAGAUCUGAAGGAAUACCGGUGGCGAAGGCGGCCCCCUGGACAGAUACUGACACUCAGAUGCGAAAGCGUGGGGAGCAAACAGGAUUAGAUACCCUGGUAGUCCACGCCGUAAACGAUGUCUACUUGGAGGUUGUGGCCUUGAGCCGUGGCUUUCGGAGCUAACGCGUUAAGUAGACCGCCUGG